CCUACGGGAGGCUGCAGUGAGGAAUAUUGGUCAAUGGGCGGGAGCCUGAACCAGCCAAGUCGCGUGAGGGAAGACGGUCCUAUGGAUUGUAAACCUCUUUAGGCGGGGAGCAAUGCCGGGCACGCGUGCCCGGAGGGAGAGUACCCGCAGAAUAAGCAUCGGCUAACUCCGUGCCAGCAGCCGCGGUAAUACGGAGGAUGCGAGCGUUAUCCGGAUUGAUUGGGUUUAAAGGGUGUGUAGGCGGAUUUUUAAGUCAGCGGUAAAAUGUCCGGGCUCAACCCGGGCCGGCCGUUGAAACUGGGGAUCUUGAGUGGGCGAGAAGUAUGCGGAAUGCGUGGUGUAGCGGUGAAAUGCAUAGAUAUCACGCAGAACUCCGAUUGCGAAGGCAGCAUACCGGCGCCCGACUGACGCUGAGGCACGAAAGCGUGGGGAUCGAACAGGAUUAGAUACCCCAGUAGUC
rnacentral:rRNA from 1 species